UACGUAGGGGGCAAGCGUUGUCCGGAAUUAUUGGGCGUAAAGAGCGUGUAGGCGGUCCGGUAAGUCGGCUGUGAAAGUCCAGGGCUCAACCCUGGAAAGCGGGUGGAUACUGCCGGGCUAGAAUCCGGAAGAGGCGAGUGGAAUUCCUGGUGUAGCGGUGGAAUGCGCAGAUAUCAGGAGGAACACCAAUAGCGAAGGCAGCUCGCUGGGACGGUAUUGACGCUGAGGCGCGAAAGCGUGGGGAGCAAACAGG
rnacentral:rRNA from 1 species